rnacentral:rRNA from 1 species
CCUACGGGAGGCUGCAGUGGGGAAUAUUGCACAAUGGGGGAAACCCUGAUGCAGCGACGCCGCGUGAGUGAAGAAGUAAUUCGUUAUGUAAAGCGCUGGUGGUAGUGAAGAAAGAUAGAGGUAGUAACUGGCCUUUAUUUGACGGUAAUUACUUAGAAAGUCACGGCUAACUACGUGCCAGCAGCCGCGGUAAUAGGUAGGUGGCAAGCGUUGGACGGAUUUAUUGGGCGGAAAGCGAGUGCAGGCGGUUCAAUAAGUGUGAUGUGAAAGCCUUCGGCCCAACCGGAGAAUUGAAUCAGAAACUGUGGAACUGGAGUGCAGAAGAGGAGAGUGGAACUCCAUGUGUAGCGGUGGAAUGCGUAGAUAUAUGGAAGAACACCAGUGGCGAAGGCGGCUCUCUGGUCUGCAACUGACGCUGAGGCUCGAAAGCAUGGGUAGCGAACAGGAUUAGAUACCCUGGUAGUC